rnacentral:ncRNA from 1 species
ACUAUGGAGAGUACAAGGAACUAUGAGUAGAUACUAAGAUACAUAGAUACAAAGUAUUGAAAAUAUACUCAAUGAAGUAGUAA